AGCGAACGCUGGCGGCAGGCCUAACACAUGCAAGUCGAACGAAGUCUUCGGACUUAGUGGCGGACGGGUGAGUAACACGUGGGAACGUGCCUUUAGGUUCGGAAUAACUCAGGGAAACUUGUGCUAAUACCGAAUGUGCCCUUCGGGGGAAAGAUCUAUCGCCUUUAGAGCGGCCCGCGUCUGAUUAGUUAGUUGGUGAGGUAAAGGCUCACCAAGGCUACGAUCAGUAGCUGGUCUGAGAGGAUGACCAGCCACAUUGGGACUGAGACACGGCCCAAACUCCUACGGGAGGCAGCAGUGGGGAAUCUUGCGCAAUGGGCGAAAGCCUGACGCAGCCAUGCCGCGUGGAUGAUGAAGGUCUUAGGAUUGUAAAAUCCUUUCACCGGUGAAGAUAAUGACUGUAGCCGGAGAAGAAGCCCCGGCUAACUUCGUGCCAGCAGCCGCAGUAAAAC
rnacentral:rRNA from 1 species